UUCUCUAUGCUUUAAGUUCUCUGAUUACACUACCACUGCAUUUUUCACCACAACAAAAAGAGAACAAAAGGGGCGGAGAAACAAAUUCGUAGCCACUUCCCUUUGCGAUAAGCUAUCGAAAGCCGUGCUGUUCACCCCCAGUACCAACUUUUAAUAUUGUGCCAACAUCCAAUUUUAAAAUUCGAGCAAAGUUAUUUUAUAGUAUACAUAAAGUUUAAUAAAAUACAUAUUGUGAAAUAUUUGGCGGAAUCGUGUGUUGCCUUUUUUCUUGUAAUUCCGAACGAUAAACAUCGAUGCAGACAUGUCACGCGUUCCGACGCCAACCAUUCGCUCGACUAUCCACGUGCCACGCCAAGUGACAGCACCAGUUGCGGCAGCCCCAGUUGCGGCCAGCCCAGGACGUCGACCCGACGCCAGCAACAAAUGCCCCGUCCGCGCCGCACCUCCGGCCUAAGCACCGUUGGAGCCACGCUCCAGCAAUUGCAACGACUUCUAGGCUGAAAUAUUCGCUUAGGGGGUGCCAACAUCCAAUUUUAAAAUUUGAGCAAAGUUUAUUUAUAGUAUAAAUAAAGUUUAAUAAAAUACAUUUUGUGAAAUUUUUGGCGGAAUUGUGUGUUGCGAGUGCGAGGAAACUAAUCGAAAACUACACCAAUCUAAAUAUCAAUUUAAUAAUAUUCAAAAAUUAAAUUAAUUUAUAAUCCCUUUCGAAGAACAUCCAAUUAGAAAUACAUUUAUACUUAUAAUAACUAUUUUAACAAGUAUAUAUGUAUUCUACAAACUCUAUAUGAUGUAUCAAAGAAUGAAAUACAUAAAAAACUAUAAUCAAGCCCUCACUGACGUCGGCAUGCAACAUCUUAUCAACCCAGAAUAUAAGCUGUAGAUCAGGAGAUCUUUUUUUUAUAAGACCCGGAGAGUUAAUACAAAUAUCUAUCAACCAAAGUACAAUUAAUACAAAGUACAAACCUGAUAAGCGAAUAACAAACAGAAACCACGGCAUUCCAAAGUCGUCAUCAAUACACACGACACCAAAACACUUCAGCAAAUCACAGAUCGAUAACACAUUGCAAGAAAUGCUAUAUAAAGAAACACAACACAAUAAUAUAGGUUUUUUUUCAUUGUACAUUGUCAUAACUAUAAGUACAUAUUUAAUAAAUAAAGAAACAGUUCUUCAUUGAA